AGGGAGUACAUACUAAGUAUUUAUCCAUCUGAGCAUUUUCCUUGCAACUUAUAUUACCAAACCUGUAAUCGUCAUCUUCUGUUCAAGCAUCUUUUGUGCGUAGUUGGUGGAUAUAUAAAUUUGUACAUGACUACAUUUUGAGUACUCAACUUUUUAUGUGUUAGUGUUAGCGUGUGUGUGCGAAACAAAAAGAAGCAGAAAGGAACGGACAAACAGAGAGGGGCGAAACAGUGACAGUGUAAAAAGUUGAAGAGGUAACACUCAACAUUAAACCACAAGACAGCUCAAAAUAACAUUAAAACCAUCCCUGAAAAGCCAUGAAAACCGGUCAAGAACUCCAGCUUUGAAACGCAAUGAAACAACCUCAGAAUCUAUUGAAACACCAACUCGAGAUUACAGCCCGUGGUCGAUUUUCUGUUGACGUUCGUGGUUCCAGUCGGGGUAGCGGUUCAUUUUGCUAUUUUGAAUUGGCUCGCUGCUGAAAUUAGCACAAUCGGAUUCGCGUGUACUUUUCCUGAUCAUCUUACCUAAUAUUAAAGGGAGCUCUUUCAGAUAUGGAGAUGAUACAUUGCCUGUAGGAAUUACGUAGCUGCGACAUCCAGUACAGGGCUGCUCAGUUACCAAUCUUGCCAUCCUCUUGCCAUCCUCUUGAGUUGAUACAUUACCUACAGGAAUUACGUAGCUGCUAGAUAGAUCUAAAGGUGACUUCCCAGCUAACCAGUCAAGUACAAGAGUAUUAAACCUCCAUGAAUGUGGAGUAGAAAUGGAAGACGGAGGCGGUGAUGAAGAUCUAGCCCUUAAGAGAAUUUUGAAUUAUUGAUUGUUGUAGAUGCAUGUGGCGGUUUCUAGGAAUGUUUCUUAUCAAGACAUUUUAAAACUUUUAACUCUUGAAAUAUCAAAUGUAUGUACUUGGUAACAUUUCAUCACUAUCUAUGGAUUUAUUAUCUUGUUGGACAA